rnacentral:rRNA from 1 species
AUGGUAGGAUAGAGGCCUACCAUGGUGGUAACGGGUAACGGGGUGUUAGGGCACGACACCGGAGAGGGAGCCUGAGAAACGGCUACCACAUCCAAGGAAGGCAGCAGGCGCGCAAAUUACCCAAUCCCGACACGGGGAGGUAGUGACAAUAAAUAACAAUACAGGGUUCUUUGAAUCUUGUAAUUGGAAUGAGUACAAUUUAAAUCUCUUAACGAGGAACAAUUGGAGGGCAAGUCUGGUGCCAGCAGCCGCGGUAAUUCCAGCUCCAAUAGCGUAUAUNAAAGUUGUUGCAGUUAAAAAGCUCGUAGUUGAAUUUCGGGAUCAAUACGUCGGUCGUGCUUUCGGGUACGUACUGGCGUCAUUGGUUUCUCCUUUCUGACGAACCAUGAUGUCAUUAAUUUGGUGUUAUGGGGAGUUAGGACUGUUACUUUGAAAAAAUUAGAGUGUUUAAAGCAGGCAUUAGCUUGAAUACAUUAGCAUGGAAUAAUGAAAUAGGACGUUCGAUCCUAUUUUGUUGGUUUCUAGGAUCAACGUAAUGAUUAAUAGGGAUAGUUGGGGGCGUUAGUAUUCAAUUGUCAGAGGUGAAAUUCUUGGAUUUAUUGAAGACUAACUACUGCGAAAGCAUUUGCCAAGGAUGUUUUCAUUAAUCAAGAACGAAAGUUAGGGGAUCGAAGACGAUCAGAUACCGUCGUAGUCUUAACCAUAAACUAUGCCGACUAGGGAUCGGAUGAUGUUAAUUUUUUAAUGACUCAUUCGGCGCCUUACGGGAAACCAAAGUGUUUGGG